rnacentral:rRNA from 1 species
CCUACGGGGGGCUGCAGUGAGGAAUAUUGGUCAAUGGGCGAGAGCCUGAACCAGCCAAGUCGCGUGAAGGAUGACUGCCCUAUGGGUUGUAAACUUCUUUUUUAGGGGAAUAAAGUGAGUCACGUGUGACUUUUUGUAUGUACCCUACGAAUAAGCAUCGGCUAACUCCGUGCCAGCAGCCGCGGUAAUACGGAGGAUGCGAGCGUUAUCCGGAUUUAUUGGGUUUAAAGGGUGCGUAGGCGGACUUUUAAGUCAGCGGUGAAAUUUUCCGGCUCAACCGGGACAUUGCCGUUGAAACUGAUAGUCUUGAGUGUAAAUGAGGUAGGCGGAAUGUGUGGUGUAGCGGUGAAAUGCUUAGAUAUCACACAGAACUCCAAUUGCGAAGGCAGCUUACUGGCAUACAACUGACGCUGAGGCACGAAAGUGUGGGUAUCAAACAGGAUUAGAUACCCCUGUAGUC